UCGGGAAUUUUGGGCAAUGGGGGAAACCCUGACCCAGCAACGCCGCGUGAAGGAUGAAGUAUUUCGGUAUGUAAACUUCGAAAGAAUAGGAAGAAUAAAUGACGGUACUAUUUGUAAGGUCCGGCUAACUACGUGCCAGCAGCCGCGGUAAUACGUAGGGACCAAGCGUUGUUCGGAUUUACUGGGCGUAAAGGGCGCGUAGGCGGUGUGUCAAGUCAGUUGUGAAAUCUCCGAGCUUAACUCGGAACGGUCAACUGAUACUGUCACACUAGAGUACAGAAGGGGCAAUCGGAAUUCUUGGUGUAGCGGUGAAAUGCGUAGAUAUCAAGAGGAACACCUGAGGCGAAGGCGGGUUGCUGGGCUGAUACUGACGCUGAGGCGCGAAAGCUAGGGUAGCAAACGGGAUUAGAUACCCCCGUAGUCCCUGAGCGGGCUGGCAAGGCGCAU
rnacentral:rRNA from 1 species